CCUACGGGUGGCUGCAGUGGGGAAUAUUGGGCAAUGGGCGCAAGCCUGACCCAGCAACGCCGCGUGAAGGAAGAAGGCUCUCGGGUUGUAAACUUCUUUUAUCAGGGACGAAGCAAGUGACGGUACCUGAUGAAUAAGCCACGGCUAACUACGUGCCAGCAGCCGCGGUAAUACGUAGGUGGCAAGCGUUAUCCGGAUUUACUGGGUGUAAAGGGAGUGUAGGCGGGAAAGCAAGUCAGAUGUGAAAACCAUGGGCUCAACCUGUAGCGUGCAUUUGAAACUGUUUUUCUUGAGUACAGGAGAGGCGGGCGGAAUUCGUGGUGUAGCGGUGAAAUGCGUAGAUAUUAGGAAGAACACCAGUGGCGAAGGCAGUCUACUGGACAGCAACUGACACUGAGGCGCGAAAGCGUGGGGAGCAAACAGGAUUAGAUACCCCAGUAGUC
rnacentral:rRNA from 1 species